rnacentral:rRNA from 1 species
UACGUAGGGACCAAGCGUUGUUCGGAUUUACUGGGCGUAAAGGGCGCGUAGGCGGCGUGACAAGUCACUUGUGAAAUCUCCGGGCUUAACUCGGAACGGUCAAGUGAUACUGUUGUGCUAGAGUACAGAAGGGGCAAUCGGAAUUCUUGGUGUAGCGGUGAAAUGCGUAGAUAUCAAGAGGAACACCUGAGGUGAAGACGGGUUGCUGGGCUGACACUGACGCUGAUGCGCGAAAGCUAGGGGAGCAAACGGG